rnacentral:lncRNA from 1 species
CGAGAUACAAGGGCGACGAUUAGAAGUUGGCCGAUUGGUGCUACGGUCAAGGAUCGGUUGGUUGGUGCUACAGUCAAGGAUCGGUUGAUUGGUGCUACAGUCGAGGAUCGGCCGAUUGAUGCUACAGUCGAGGAUCGGCCGAUUGACCCUUGGAGUUCCGCCUCGCCCGACCCCUGAGGUUUGGGAUCGGGCGCGCCCGACCCUCCAAAGGAGGAUCUCCGCCUCGCCCGACCUUAGUUUCCAGGGUCGGAGUAAGUCUGAGCCCUCAACAUGUGGGUCCUGAUCGGUUACCCCUUGCCGAUGAGGUGAUCGGCCGAUUAGGAGGUUGGAAUAGUUGGGCCGGUGUGGGCUUAAAAAGGAUUAUGAAGAUGAAGAGGGAAUCAGCCCAUGAAGCGCGUGAUAAUCGACCUAGUACGAAUCGUACUUGUAAAUAUUCAUUUUCUGUUUAAAUUUAGGGAUAGAGUUCUAGUCGGAUAAGAAGUCGUUUGCAACAGGCUAUAAAUAGCCACCCUUGUAGAUCUGUAAUCAUCAUUAACUCAAUUCAAC